CCUACGGGGGGCAGCAGUGGGAAUAUUGCACAAUGGGGGAAACCCUGAUGCAGCGACGCCGCGUGAGUGAAGAAGUAUUUCGGUAUGUAAAGCUCUAUCAGCAGGGAAGAAGCAAGACGGUACCUGACUAAGAAGCCCCGGCUAACUACGUGCCAACAGCCGCGGUAAUACGUAGGGGGCAAGCGUUAUCCGGAUUUACUGGGUGUAAAGGGAGCGUAGACGGUAUGGCAAGUCUGAAGUGAAAGCCCAGGGCUUAACCCUGGGACUGCUUUGGAAACUGUUAGACUAGAGUGCUGGAGAGGUAAGUGGAAUUCCUAGUGUAGCGGUGAAAUGCGUAGAUAUUAGGAGGAACACCAGAGGCGAAGGCGGCUCACUGGACUGUAACUGACGUUGAGGCUCGAAAGCGUGGGUAGCAAACAGGAUUAGAUACCCUUGUAGUC
rnacentral:rRNA from 1 species